GAAAGGUCCUCCCUUUGGUGAUUUGAGGGCCGUCUGGGUGCCGGCCCUUGAGGGGGGGUCUAGGGCGGGGGCCCGAGCCAGCGACUCCGGCUUCCUGUGUCCCCCAGCCAUCGUCUCCAGAGGUGUUCCGUGUCCCCCAGCCGUCGACUCCGGAGGUGUUAUCUGUCCCCCAGCCGUCGACUCUGGAGGUGUUCCGUGCUUCCCAGCCGACCAUUCCAGAGACGUUCAGUGCCCUGCAGUCGGCGCUCUGGAGCUGGCCAACUGACUGUCCGCCGGGCCGACCCCCGGAGUCUCCCCGGCCGUUUGCCGGGCCAACCCCCAGAAGCUCCCCGGCCACUUGACCGCCCGCCGGGCCGCCCGCCACAGUUCCCCAGGCGGCCCACCAUCGUCUGGUUUCCCUCCCUCCCGCCCCUUGUCUGUUCCUGGUCUGGUUAGGGCCAUCUGGAAUUUGGCCCUUGAGGGGGGAAUUCUGUCACGGUUUUGGUUCAUGUCUGGUUUUAUUUUGUUGUUUCUUGCCUCUGUUCUCCCUGGGUCAUGUUACUUCCUUCCUUGUUCUGUCCUCCUUUGUGAUUGUCUGACACGUCAUGAUUGUUUCCACCUGCGUCCAAUCACCUGCACCUCCCUAGUUUAUUUAAACCAUGUGGGUCUGUUGUCACGUGUCGCAUCAUUGUUAGUUGUUGAAUGUACAGAAGUCCAUGUUCCUGUUUCCUGUCUCCUGUUCCCUGACCUCGUUCAUGCCUUUUUGGAGUUUGAGUUUUUUUGACUAUUAAAGUCCCUUUUUGUUUUCAAAGAAACUCUGCGUCGGAGUCCUACCUUUGCCUUCAACGAACCCGUUCUGACAGGUCCAGAAGCUUUGCAGAACACAUGUUAAUGGAAGUGUCGGCCAGAAACCUCAGGAAUAUCUGCAACAAGUCACUCCAGCAAGUACAGAUGUUACUGGGAUGCGAACAGCAGUCCUCCGUGGCCUUCCUGUCAUCCUUGGUGUUACGCACUCCUCUAAAGAGAGGAUACCGUAGCACGCAGUCACGUGAGCUGGCCACAAGAGCAAGGCUGGACAUCAGCAGCAGUGGGACCCCAGGCCUGGGGAACUCACCGGCCCCCUGCUCGCCACAACACGCCCCGAAGCGCUGACAUUGCACGAAGCAGACAAGAAGACUCUGUAUUUUAACUGUGUGAAGAGCAUAAACCGGUCCGGACUGUGCGACAGGCUCCCCACUGUGUGCUCCAACAGACUGGGACAAAAUGGACCGGGCCCACAGUGGAGGAUUUUAUACAAACCUCCCCCCAAGAAACGGACUGCCAACCUCCAGUGGAGAAUUUUACACGGUGCUGUCGCCUCCAACGCUUUUAUUUCUGCUAUUAAUCCCUCUGUUCUUAGCCGGUGCCCCUUCUGUGACCUCCGAGAGACUAUUUAUCAUGUUUUUACAGAGUGCAAGAGACUUGCGAGUUUCUUCUCUGUUAACAUCGGUUUUUAGUCUUUUUAAUGUGGUUUUUACAGAAAAGAUUUUUAUAGGAGCUGCCUACAAGAACGCAGAAUAAUAAAAAUGGCAGCUCCUCAACUAUCUUUCAGAGGGGAAGCCAAAAUGGCCAUUUAUCUAAGCAGGAAGGCCAGAGUGAAGGGCAGAGAGGGGCAGGAGGCCAGAGCAGUGUGGCUGGUGAACGUCAGGUUCAGGCUCUGGCUAGAGUUCCGCUUUUAUAAACACAUUGGAGACGUAGACACUUUUAAACAACGUUGGUGUUUUAAUGAUGUUGUGUGCUCAGUUGAAAAAAAUGAAUUGGUGUUUGCUCCUGUUUUUAUGGCAUAUGUUUUUUAAAAACAAAGCAAGGAAACCUGUGACUUUUAACACAUUAGCAAAGUUUUGAAUAUGUAAAAUAACUAGUUUUUUUUUUUAAUCCCAAAAAAAAGAUCUCUCUGUCUCUCUCUCUCUCGGCAUCAUGACUGGCACUACCAGGUGAAACCCCUUACCGAGCGGGCCUGGAAGCCAGGGAGGUGUGCAACUUAGUGUGUGUGUGUGUGUGCUGGUAAUUAUUUGCUUCUACUGUUGGACAGUAUGAUUUUGAGCUUGAACCUGAUAAGGAGGGUUUUGUGACAUAAAUCUCUCUUUUGUGUAAAAAUUCCUUCUUUUAUAGUUUAUUUUCAUUUGUUAUUCCCCGACUUCCCUAGACAUCAGUUGAGGGACGUAACAUUCACUUACAUCCUUUUUGAUAUUUAGGUUCUUAUAUAUUUUGUUUCAAAAAAAUGC
ensembl:lncRNA